rnacentral:rRNA from 1 species
GGACGAACGCUGGCGGCGUGCUUAACACAUGCAAGUCGAGCGGUAAGGCUCCUUCGGGAGUACACGAGCGGCGAACGGGUGAGUAACACGUGAGCAAUCUGCCCUUCACUUCGGGAUAACUCCGGGAAACCGGUGCUAAUACCGAAUACGACCACUUCAGGCAUCUGAUGGUGGUGGAAAGUUCCGGCGGUGAAGGAUGAGCUCGCGGCCUAUCAGCUUGUUGGUGGGGUAACGGCCCACCAAGGCAACGACGGGUAGCCGGCCUGAGAGGGUGACCGGCCACACUGGGACUGAGACACGGCCCAGACUCCUACGGGAGGCAGCAGUGGGGAAUAUUGGACAAUGGGCGAAAGCCUGAUCCAGCAACGCCGCGUGAGGGAUGACUGCCUUCGGGUUGUAAACCUCUUUCAGCAGGGACGAAGCGCAAGUGACGGUACCUGCAGAAGAAGCACCGGCCAACUACGUGCCAGCAGCCGCGGUAAUACGUAGGGUGCGAGCGUUGUCCGGAAUUAUUGGGCGUAAAGGGCUCGUAGGCGGUCUGUCGCGUCGGGAGUGAAAACUCAGGGCUUAACCCUGAGCCUGCUUCCGAUACGGGCAGACUAGAGGUAUGCAGGGGAGAACGGAAUUCCUGGUGUAGCGGUGGAAUGCGCAGAUAUCAGGAGGAACACCGGUGGCGAAGGCGGUUCUCUGGGCAUUACCUGACGCUGAGGAGCGAAAGUGUGGGGAGCGAACAGGAUUAGAUACCCUGGUAGUCCACACCGUAAACGUUGGGCGCUAGGUGUGGGACUCAUUCCACGAGUUCCGUGCCGCAGCUAACGCAUUAAGCGCCCCGCCUGGGG